UUCUCCUUUUUUAUUGCUGAGUAAUAUUCCACAGUCUGGGAGGACAACUUUGCUUGAUAACCCGCCUCCUGAAGGACAGCUGGGCUCCCUUCCUGUUCCUGGCUAUUGGCCACAGAGCUGCUAUGGACACCCAUUUUAGGCAGGUUUUGGGGUGAAUGUGUCUUCAUUUCUCUGGGAGCCUGUGCCGAGGACUGAGUCGCUGGGUCAGGUACUUCCUUGCAUAUUAUUUACUUUCAUUUUCUCGGCGGUAAACACUUGAACCCGUGCCGUGUGCUCUGCCACUGGGCUGCGCUCCCAGCCCCCACAUUCUGUUUUGGGAGGAACGGCCAAACUGGUUUUCAUCACGUCUGCACCGUUCCACAUCCUGCCGCUACGUGGUGGUGACCGAUUCGUCACACCCCCACGGACAUUCAGCACCGCGGGUCUGGGUCUUUGCCUCUCUGAGAGCCUGAGGGAUGACUUCCGCGUCUCCCUGACGGUUUCUGGGGUCAACACUGUGUGUGUUUGCAUCUGGAUACUCUCCUGGGUGUCAUGUCCCUUCGGGCCUCUGUCCUGCUCUGACUGGCUGGCCCCUCUGUGGCCCCACUCCCUGUCCUUGGCCGGCUCUGUGCUGGGCCUACCUUCCUGUCGUCCACAGCCAGCUGUCCCCCCCUCCUGGGCAGGGCGAGCGUUUUGGAUCAUGUGAGAUUGUAUCUUAAGCUUGAAAUCAGGUAAACUGAUUCUUCCUACCGUUUCCUUUUUAAGAAUCAUCGUAGUUAUUCUGAGUCUCUUUCCGUCGUGUUUGUACGUUUAGAAGAAUCUGGUCUAUAUCCACAGACGUCUCACGGGGUCCUGGACAGGAACUCUGUAUGUCGAUCCCUGCCUAAUACUGACAGCUCUCCCCCAUCCUCC
rnacentral:lncRNA from 1 species